GGAACACUUACUUCCUUAGAAGGGUAGAGACGAGCCUUAUUCAACUUCGUAGCCCCAGCUCCAAAUAGUGACUGGCCUACAAGUGCUUAGUCGCUGCUCCAUGUGAGACGAUUGGAGGAUUUUCAAGCAAAGAAAAUCUCCUCAGCCAUAGGAGAGAAAGCUACUUCCACAGCCCCCCGGUACAUAGUUGCAUAUUCUUCAUUGUGGGUCCUUCUAGUUGUGGCAUGUGGGACGCUGCCUCAGCGUGGUUUGAUGAGCAGUGCCAUGUCUGCGCCCAGGAUUCGAACCAAUGAAACACCGGGCCACCUGCAGCGGAGCAUGCAAACUUAACC
rnacentral:lncRNA from 1 species